ensembl:lncRNA
GUGCAGGUAUGUGUGUUACUCUGUGUUCACUUGCUAAGGAUAUUACUGGUAACUGUAUGGCACCAGUGACUGAGAUACUUAUUUUCACCUACAUCUGACUAACUCUGAUGAAGACCUCUCUCUGAUGAUGUAAGAUGUGAUUAUUUGGCAGGUUGCAGGGCUUUGGGGCAGAUAAACUUAAAAUCUGCUUAUCACCAAAGCUAGGGUAGAGAGCAUUGGACUGCUUGUCUAGUCUUACAUGCAGAACUGUCUUUUCAUGUCUGUGAGGCCAUCUCCUUGUGUGCUCUCAGGCAAGGUUGUGUGAGUUGCUUUUGGGAAACCUAAUUUACCUUCAGGUGGGUGUCAGGAAGCCAUCAUGCAUCAGCAGCUCUCUGCUUUGCUUGUGUUCUCUGGCCCAGAUCCAGGAGUCUCUAGAUGUUUUUUUUUUCUCCACUGUGAGAGGCUGAGUGGCUUUUUCACAAUUUUCCACUCAACUGUGUGACGCUAUGCCUAAUUUGUUAACCUGUGUUAAGUUAUACCAACUGCACAGAGGAGAGUGAAUGUGGCCAUGACAGAGCACAGUAUAGCUGCAGGGCUGCCUUUGGGUUGCCUUAAAAAUAGAACUCAUGGAGAUGGCCUGAGCAAUUACUGCUACUAGUUUGUGCCACAAACCUUUUUUCCAAAGACCUUUACCACUGCUGGAGGUACAGCCAAGCAGAAAUAAAUGUGACCAUGAGCUUCAGCUUGUAAUGAGUACAUAAAUUUGAAGUCAGUCAUUUUCAUUCAAGUGAAUGUGUCAGGCCAUAAACUGUGGCAGGUAGAUACUGUACCUGGCACGCUCAUCUGCAUAUCUGGCAAUGUUUGAAACAGGGUAAAAAGGACAUAAGAAGGUCAGCCCAAUCUACUCCAUGAAUCAGAAGCUAUUGUUCUGUAGAUAAGCAGAUGUGACUCUGUCUUGGGUUUUAAGCUCUCAAAGCAGGGGUUCUCUUUUUCUCAACAAGUUUAUCACAGAAUCGUAGAAUGGCCUGGGUUGAAAAGGACCCCAAAGAUCAUCUAGUUUCAACCCUCCUGCUAUGUGCAGGGUCACCAACUACCAGACCAGGCUGCCCAGAGCCACAUCCAGCCUGGCCUUGAAUGCCUCCAGGGAUGGGGCAUCCACAAUCUCCUUGGGCAACCUGUUCCAGUGCGUCACCACCCUCUGUGUGGAAAACUUCUUCCUAAUAUCCAACCUAAACCUCCCCUGUCCCAGUUUAAAACCAUUCCCCCUUGUCCUAUCACUAUCCACCCUUGUAAACGAGCUGCUCCCCUUCCUGUUUAUACACUCCCUUCAAGUACUGGAAGGCCACAAUGAGGUCUCCCCAGAGCCUUCUCUUCUCCAAACUAAAUAAGCCCAGUUCCCUCAACCUUUCCUCAUAGGAGAGGUGCUCCAGCCCUCUGAUCAUCUCAGUGGCCCUCCUCUGGACCUGCUCUAAGAGCUCCAUGUCCUUCCUGUACUGGGGAACUUGAUGUUGAACUUGAUGUUAUUUUCUGGCAACAUAUGGAAAGCUGGGGCCUUUGACCUGUCAAACUAAUAGCUUCUAGGAAUAUUUCAUGGGAGCCAGAGUUCAAGGAGAUAAGGUUUGCAAGAUCAGACACCAGCUGUUAAUCUUAUGUUUGGUGAGACUGACUUUGAGUGACACACAGUAUGUAUUCCUUGGACUGGUGUGAAGAAAAGCAGAUAGCAGUCCUGCUGGUCUUAAAGAACAACGUGAAGCUUUUAAAGUGACUUGCCAAAGGGAGAAAAGAGGAGACAUACAGGAACGAUAUGAACAAAACAGGAAGCAGAUGCCCAAAUGCAGCUCAGCAGCCAACAAGAAAGCCAGAAAGCUGGGUACAAAGUCACCUGCUUUAGUGCCCCCACGUCUCAGAUACUAGUUCAGCCAGAUGGCUUCUGACAAUGACAACAGAUGCUGAGAGCCCCAUCUUGUACCUGGACGUCACUGGAGUUUCAAGGAUGUCCCACAGCAACUCCCUCUUUCUCCAGCCAGCCUUUGUACUGCAAUAUAAACUUCUCAGGACUCUCCACUUUUCCUUUUUUCCACUCUUUUCCCUUUUCCUUUACCCUUUCCUUCCCCUUCCCUUUCUCUUCUUUCUAUUUCCCUUUCCCUUUCCUUUCCCUCUUGUUUCUUUUCCUUUUCCUUUUUCUGGAUGCACCAGGUGUACUGCUUUAGGUGAGUAAAACAAUGCUGGAAAGUGUUGCAGAACCCGAAUCCUUUGUAUUUUUAUUCCUUUAUAGAAGUCAUUUCAGUUGUUAGAUAAAUAUAACAGAUUUUCAUACUACAUAUAUACAUCUAUAUACAUUUAUAUAAGUGCCAUGCAGUCUCAGAAUCAUACAAAUGUUUCUGCAUUAUGCAACAAGGAAUAGUGAAAUGAUGAGAAAAUGCAUUUUUAUGAGCACUGCAGUACGCGUGGAUGCAG